rnacentral:rRNA from 1 species
AUUGAACGCUGGCGGAAUGCUUUACACAUGCAAGUCGAACGGCAGCAUAGGUGCUUGCACCUGAUGGCGAGUGGCGAACGGGUGAGUAAUACAUCGGAACGUGCCCAGUCGUGGGGGAUAACGUAGCGAAAGUUACGCUAAUACCGCAUACGAUCUACGGAUGAAAGCGGGGGACCGUAAGGCCUCGCGCGAUUGGAGCGGCCGAUGUCAGAUGAGGGAGUUGAUGGGGUAAAGGCCCACCAAGCCAACGAUCUGUAGCUGGUCUGAGAGGACGACCAGCCACCAUGGGACGGAGACACGGCCCAGACUCCUACGGGAGGCAGCAGUGGGGAAUUUUGGACAAUGGGCGCAAGCCUGAUCCAGCCAUUCCGCGUGCAGGAUGAAGGCCUUCGGGUUGUAAACUGCUUUUGUACGGAACGAAAAGCUCUGGGUUAAUACCCCGGGGUCAUGACGGUACCGUAAGAAUAAGCACCGGCUAACUACGUGCCAGCCGCCGCCGUAA